GAUGAACGCUGGCGGCGUGCCUAAUACAUGCAAGUCGAGCGAACAGACGAGGAGCUUGCUCCUCUGACGUUAGCGGCGGACGGGUGAGUAACACGUGGAUAACCUACCUAUAAGACUGGGAUAACUUCGGGAAACCGGAGCUAAUACCGGAUAAUAUAUUGAACCGCAUGGUUCAAUAGUGAAAGACGGUUUUGCUGUCACUUAUAGAUGGAUCCGCGCCGCAUUAGCUAGUUGGUAAGGUAACGGCUUACCAAGGCAACGAUGCGUAGCCGACCUGAGAGGGUGAACGGCCACACUGGAACUGAGACGCGGGCCAGACUCCUACGGGAGGCAGCAGUAGGGAAUCUUCCGCAAUGGGCGAAAGCCUGACGGAGCAACGCCGCGUGAGUGAUGAAGGUCUUCGGAUCGUAAAACUCUGUUAUUAGGGAAGAACAAAUGUGUAAGUAACUAUGCACGUCUUGACGGUACCUAAUCAGAAAGCCACGGCUAACUACGUG
rnacentral:rRNA from 1 species